CAGAAUAUAUAGAAGACCAGCUGAGACAUCCAUUCAGCUUUGUGGGACUGAACAACUACUAGAUUUUUGGAUCUCCAUUCACAGCCAGCCACUGAAAUUAGUUGAGCUGCAGCCUCCCUGAUGCAGGACAGUGCCAGGAUCCCGCACGACAAGAAAAAUCCCACCAAUCCCUGAACAGGAAAACCCACCAAUCCCUGAACUCCCCCAAGCUCGGGUCUUGAAAUUCGACCAAUCCUCACCCGGGAAAUCUUCACCCUGGUAAUCUCUGCCGCCUGAGAAAUCCUCUAAAAACGCCGACUACUGUUCAGUCGCCUGCUGUCUUCUCCUGGAGCAGAGGCAGCCAACCCUGGAUUUGUCCCUUCAAACUCUGGAUUUCUCUAUCCCAAUAAAGUUCUUUUAUGAGA